UACGUAGGCAGCGAGCGUUGUUCGGAGUUACUGGGCGUAAAGGGUGCGCAGGCGGUGGAGCAAGUCUGAUGUGAAAUCUCCCGGCUUAACCGGGAGGGUGCGUUAGAAACUGUUCUGCUGGAGUGAGGGAGAGGCAAGCGGAAUUCCUGGUGUAGCGGUGAAAUGCGUAGAUAUCAGGAGGAACACCAAUUGCGAAGGCAGCUCGCUGGAACGUUACUGACGCUGAGACGCGAAAGCGUGGGGAGCAAACAGG
rnacentral:rRNA from 1 species